AAUGGCUGAUUUUCAUCAGAAGUACAUGUGCUACAGAAUGUUAGGCUCUAGUCCGAUGCUUUUGGAUCAUGCAGUAUAUUUCCUUUAUUCAGGCGAUAUAGUGAAAAAUGGUAGCGUAAUAGAUAUUGAGAAGGAUCUUCCAGGAUUGAAAGAACAGUGUCUGAAUUUAUUCACAAAGCACCAUUUGAAUACUGCAUAUCCACUAACAGGUUACAUAUCACCUGAAGUUUGCCUUCAUGGGCACACCUAUAAACCUGGAAUUAUUUUGCAUCUUAAUUAUGUAAAAGGUGUUCCAACUUUUGGUCUUGUGCUUCAAAACCUCAUACAUGACAGCAUGAAGUUUUUCAUAUUGGAAAACUUGAUUACUUCAGGAUUUGAUGGCCAUUAUAAUGCAUAUGUUUUGAAAGCUACUGGAAAUAAAGUAGUACAGAGUUUUAUUGAUAUUGAAAACAAGUGGCCUUUGAGUGUAUACCAUGUCAACAAUGAAAUGUAUGUUACUAACCGAUAUUGUCACUUUGUUGAAUUUAUAUAGACCUAUGGUAACAGUCAUGAGCAUGACGUUACACUGCAUCAUAGGAGAAGGAAAACUCUGAUAUAAAACCACCUGCUGCUUUAUAGGUUGUGUCUACAUAUUUAAGGCUGUAUCACACGUGCACAUUUUCCUGCGACAUCGUGUUGUGCAACAUCAUUUCCGACGACCUGCCGUCCUCGGAAAUUAUCAAAGACCGUCGUUUAUUUUUCUGCGACUACAACAAUUAAACAAUUGUCUUUGAUAAUUUCCAAGGAUGGCAGGUCGUCGUAAAUGUUGUCGCAGGAAAAUGUGCCUGUGUGAUAUGGCCUUAAGAUGAAUUGUAGGAGAAGGAUCACUCUAUUAAACAAAUAAUUAAGUGCAAGGGGGACAGGAUCCCCUACACUGUAUGGUCUCCCAGAAACAGUGGGCACACCACACACAGAGAGUGGAGUGUAUAGACACCCUUAAAACCACUAGAUUGCGCCCUCUCUGGGGUGUACCCUUUUGGCCUAGGUAUAUAGAUGGAUGGAUUGUAACAAACUAAUGAAAAAAAGUAAAAAAAAGAUAAGAAAAAACAUGGAAGGGCAAUUUAACCUAAACCUAUCGGAAUUAUUAAACGCUUCAUAUCAGUCAGUAUCUAUGAUGCAUUUGUGUGUUCCAUUGUGUGAAGCAUAUAUGUAUGUAUGCAUAUAUGUCAAAACUGAUUUACAACUGUCUCAACUUUAUUCCUAAAAAUGCUCCAGAAUGCCAGUUUUCCGUAUUUGGUGUGCUGAUCGCAUCAUAAGGAAAUCGGUUGUGUCAGUAGCAGAAAUUGAAGAACUAAAGAAAAAAAGCAACACAAAAACUCGGUUUGGAGUUGGUAGGACCUACGAAGUUAGUUCUAGAGAAAUGUGGUACAGAAGUGGACGACGAUGAGGUGUUGGAAGAAAUUGCUGAUGAAGUCUUACUAUUGUUGGCUGAUGGAGAAACUUAUACACCAUCUGUAGCUCAGCAAAUACCUGACUCUACUCGAAGUUUGGUAACAUGUACUACAGGCGAUGUACUUCAACCCAGCAGGAGUGCAAGUGACAACGAAAAGGCAAGCACAAGUUCAAGUGAGACAGAGGCAUAUGCCAGUCACAAAUCAUGUAACACAUUAUCAUUGCCUCUGCCAGAACUCUCACGGGCAACCCGAGAUGACUUACAACAGGGAGAUAAAUCAAGACGGGUCUUGUUGCAGCUGAUAGAAGAAUCCAAGAACUACUACAUGAAGUAUUGCC
rnacentral:lncRNA from 1 species